rnacentral:rRNA from 1 species
UACGAAGGGGGCGAGCGUUGUUCGGAAUUACUGGGCGUAAAGGGCGCGUAGGCGGCCCUUCAAGUCAGGCGUGAAAGCCCCGGGCUCAACCUGGGAGGUGCGCUUGGGACUGGAGGGCUCGAGUUCGGGAGAGGAGAGUGGAAUUCCCAGUGUAGAGGUGAAAUUCGUAGAUAUUGGGAAGAACACCGGUGGCGAAGGCGGCUCUCUGGACCGAGACUGACGCUGAGGCGCGAAAGCGUGGGGAG